rnacentral:lncRNA from 1 species
ACUGUAAUUUAGGUAUUCCCCGCAAUAGUGUGCUGAUUUCUGUUGAGAGCACUGUGCCUGUUUUUCUCAACUCUAUUUUAAAGCUACGGAGAGAUCCGGAGUCCACGCCAGGCGACAAGAACGCGCUCUAAUGGAACGAAGUUGGCAAUACCUAUCAGCACCAGGGGCAGUGCGAGAGCCAAGAGCCGGCGCUCACGAGGAGCGGGCGCCCAGCGCUGCCUGGCAAGCCCGGAGCCCAGGAGAUCGCGCUGACUGACAUGGCCGGGCUGACCCUUCUCCCCACCCGCCUGCGGCCGGUGUUCACUCACUGGGCGGCGCUGGUGCCGGGACCAGGCGACCGGUACGCAAACCUCCAGGCCCGGGCUCCUUUCGCCCGCUGCAGGGACCGGGCCUCGCUCCGCCCAGCGUCGGGAUUGGCGCCCAGACACAGUAGAUGACGCACCUCAGCCAAUUCGCGCAGCCCUCAGCUUCUUUAAAGAGCCGGCACUUCCGCCAGAAGCCGGGUGUGUCCUUCCGGGCCAGGCUCAGUGUUACCAGAGGUGGGAGGGGAAGGUCAAAAGAGGCAAAUUCAAAGCCGCGGCGACUCAGCUGCCAGAUUUUUGAGAUGAGGCAGAGGAAGCGGAGUGGAAUUCUCAAUUAAAGGCCUCUGUCCCCUCAUCUGUUAAAUUGGCACUAUUAAAAAGUCAUAAAGAUAAGACAGAAACGAGAAAGAAGAGAAUUGACUGAAAUUACCCAUUCUUUUUUGAACAGAGCCGUCUUUCUCCCCUGCUGCUCAGAGAGAUGUCGGUCUCGCCUCAACCUCACCAGCAAUUUCUAUCUUGAAUAAGCCACGUCUCUCUCCCAGCCUGAGAGAAUGCUUGAAUUGUUGGCACUCUGUUCUUUGCUACCAAAUGGCUUGGAAAAAUAGCAUGAACGUCACCAGUCUCUGGCCUUCAGGAAAGUCCCUGCUAACCACCACAGCGGUGGAGAAGGCGUCUAACUUUCUCCAGGCUCAGCGUGUGAGUGCACACCGCCCUGACCUCCUGGGCGCGUCUUGAUGCUCUCAACAGCAGCCCUCAGGAUUCUGGACUGUGGGUCCCACAUUCCAGAUACCAUUUGUGGAAUGGCUGGAUGAGAAAAUUGCAACAGCACCCUCAUUUCCAGUUAAGGGAAUGGGCGGGUUACCAGGAGGUUUGACACUCUUGAAGGGAGGUUAACAACUGAUGCAAGAAGUAAGGAAUCGUGUUUGAGUGCACAGACUCUAGCAUAAACACACCUACCUUCAAUUUCUAGCUCUGUCACUGUCACUCUGAAUUUAUCACCUCUGCAACAGGACUAAAGCCAUCUAAUUUAUUGGAUUGUGAGGACUAAAAGAUAAUAUAUGUGGGCAUUUAGCACAGUGUCGGGCACAUAGUUCGCCUUCCGUAACCAGUAGUAACCAGUAACAGCGGGGAGCUGUUAGUAACUAUAGGGCUGAGGGGUGGGGGAAGGAAGCAGUUACUAAAACCAGGCGAGAGCGAGAGCGGUAGCUGUGGCUGUACGAGAGAGUAACCAACUGGAACCGUGUCGUUCAGUAGAGGAAAGCAAGCAAUGCCAACUUUUCACCAAGUAAGGUGAGAUUCUAUAGUUGUAGCCAGUGCUGAGACGUCAGCCCAAAGCAGGGACAGAGUGGAGAAGACCCACCUCUCUGUUCUCCCAGCUCUGAUAUCCAGCUGGGGUCUUCCGCUGGCUGGAUCCACCAGGAAGCCAGAAGACAGUGGAGCUAGGUCUGUGUAGUCUGUAGAGGUCAGCCUACUAGGCACAAUGCCUGGAGGGAGAAAUAGAAAAUAUCCAGCACACCAUUUCUUUUUUUUGUUUGUUUUUACACUUUAAGCUCUAGGGUACAUGUGCACAACGUGCAGGUUUGUUACCUAUGUAUACAUGUGCCGUGUUGGUGUGUUGCACCCAUUAAGUUGUCAUUUACAUUAGGUGUAUCUCCUAAUGCUAUCCCUCCCCCCUCCCCCCACCCCACAACAGGCCCCGGUGUGUGAUGUCCCCCUUCCUGUGUCCAAGUGUUCUCAUUGUUCAAUUCCCACCUAUGAGUGAGAACAUGCGGUGUUUGGUUUUUUGUCCUUGCGAUAGUUUGCUGAGAAUGAUGGUUUCCAGCUUCAUCCACGUCCCUACAAAGGACAUGAACUCAUCAUUUUUUAUGGCUGCAUAGUAUUCCAGCACACCAUUUCUACAACCUUGGGUUUAUUGUGUUUGGAAGCCUAGAUCCAAAGGAAGGAAUGCUGCCACUAGAAGACCCCGUCACUGAAUUGAAUUGAAUUUCAAUUCAUUGAUUCGAAAGCUGAAACUGCCCUCUGGUCACUUUGAUUCCUCACAGUGACAGAAUGGUAUGAUUCAUCCCAAAUACCAAAAGGAAAUUGGGUUACAUCUAUAUAUUGAGGGCAAGAAGAACUAUGCAUGACACCUGGAGAUUCACUGGGCACUUCUUAAUACUGCCGUGUGCCAUAAUAAUGAUUAUCAGAUAACUGAAGUAAUGCAGAAAUUUCAGAUCAUGAAGAAAUUAAAGUGUUGAAGCAUACCAGAUAAAAAAAUCCUGAUCUACCUAGGUGUUGGCAUAGGGCAGGGGAAACAUACAUAAGUAAAUGAGUAGGAAGCUAUGAUUAUUAAUUUUAGCCUUGCAACAAGCUCUAGAGGCAGGAAUUAUAGUAGCUCUCCAUUUAAAAUGUUAAUUACUUCUUCCCUGACUCUCUUUUCCUAUUACCCUGCAUAAAGAGUAGUGGUGGAGAUAAAUAUUACAAUUUAGUUUCUGGGUGAGAAUGUGCCUGAACUGACAUCCCCUCAAGGCAAUAUGGCAGCUGAUGAGGCUUGUUAAGGAAAAUCAAAGCUGGACAAUAGCUGUAGCAGUAAAAAUAGAUUUUUAUUCAGCAACUUUUGAAAUAGGGGGAAAGAGACCUUGGUAAAGAACUGGGCUCAAUUCUGAAUACAGUAAGGAUAAGUGGGGAUUUAUAGCCGAGGAGCAGGUUGUGUGGAUGGGGGUGGGGUCCGUGGAUGGAAAAUUACUAAGAAGAGACAGCAAGGGUAGGGGAAAUCCUUGCUAAACUGACCUAACAGGAUUCUUGCUAAAGGUAGGCCAGGGUAAGCAGACAUCACCUGGGGGCUGGUGGGGGUAAGGAAUUUGAUCAGAUAUUGAGAGUGGUCAAACAUUCAGGGUGGGAAGAUCCUCUCUAAA